GAUCCAGACUUUGAUUAAUGGCUCAGGAAUGAACGCUAGCUACAGGCUUAACACAUGCAAGUCGAGGGGAAACGACAUCGAAAGCUUGCUUUUGAUGGGCGUCGACCGGCGCACGGGUGAGUAACGCGUAUCCAACCUGCCCACCACUUGGGGAUAACCUUGCGAAAGUAAGACUAAUACCCAACGAUAUCUCUAGAAGACAUCUGAAGGAGAUUAAAGAUUUAUCGGUGAUGGAUGGGGAUGCGUCUGAUUAGCUUGUUGGCGGGGUAACGGCCCACCAAGGCGACGACCAGUAGGGGUUCUGAGAGGAAGGUCCCCCACAUUGGAACUGAGACACGGUCCAAACUCCUACGGGAGGCAGCAGUGAGGAAUAUUGGUCAAUGGACGAGAGUCUGAACCAGCCAAGUAGCGUGCAGGAUGACGGCCCUAUGGGUUGUAAACUGCUUUUAUAAGGGAAUAAAGUGAGUCUCGUGAGACUUUUUGCAUGUACCUUAUGAAUAAGGACCGGCUAAUUCCGUGCCAGCAGCCGCGGUAAUACGGAAGGUCCGGGCGUUAUCCGGAUUUAUUGGGUUUAAAGGGAGCGUAGGCCGGAGAUCAAGCGUGUUGUGAAAUGUAGACGCUCAACGUCUGCACUGCAGCGCGAACUGGUCUCCUUGAGUACGCACAAAGUGGGCGGAAUUCGUGGUGUAGCGGUGAAAUGCUUAGAUAUCACGAAGAACUCCGAUUGCGAAGGCAGCUCACUGGAGCGCAACUGACGCUGAAGCUCGAAAGUGCGGGUAUCGAACAGGAUUAGAUACCCUGGUAGUCCGCACGGUAAACGAUGGAUGCCCGCUGUUGGUUCUGA
rnacentral:rRNA from 2 species